CGUAAACGCCUAUGCGCAUGUGUCAAUGCGGCGCAUGUGCAGAAAGUUUUUAGCUUUGAGGUCUGGAUUAUAGAUCAUUCGGAUUAUGGGUGUCCGAAUUAACGACUUUUGACUGUAUUCCUGAUGCAUGGGUCAAGGAUACAGUGGUAUAUACAAUUUCAGUUGCUUUGAGGUCCUUGCAAAGCACUGGAUGCAGUUGGGCCAUUGUUUUUCUGCACCCAAUUUUGAUUUUGCAUUGAACUAUUUUCCAGUGUCUGGUUAAAACACAAACAGUGAAGAAUAAAUUAUUUAUACUGAUUGAUAUUGAUUUGAUAAUGCAUAGUCAAUCCAUCAUAUUAUGACCAUUUUCACAAUCCAUGCAGUAAAAGCCAGGCAUAUAGAAAAGCAACUGUAAAUUUAGGGGUUGGUAUCUUUUGAGUUGAAAAUCAGUUGUGAAAUGUAUAUUGUAAUGUUAGAGUACCCAUGUUAAUAGUUCAUAUUUCAAAAAAUAAUUUUGGAUGUAGCAGCCAAAAAUGGGAUGUGGAAAAAAUAUGUAUUUCGAAAAUAAGUUCAUAUUCAGAGGCCAACAUGGGAUGUUAAAAAAUAUAUCUUGAAAAUUUGGCAUGUUGAACAGUUUUUAAGCUGAAGCUUGUGCUAUUCAUGAUAGAUACACUUUUGUAGGACAUUUAAAAACCAUUCAAAUGUCUAUCAGAGAAAAAGUUCAAAUACAUUUUAACUUUUAAAACUGUAUCUACAGUUUAUGCAUGUUACUGAAAUGUGUAGUUUUUAUUGACAAAUAUUAUGUUAUUGUAUUGUAAUAGUUUUAUGCUUAAUUUACUGAAUAUGUAAUCCAGUAAUAAGAAAAUUUUUAUUGAAAGCUGUCAGAAUCGAUACAGUUAAUACAAUAAAAAAGAAGAAAGAAAAUUGUAACAGCAGUGUAGUACACAUUCAAAAUAUGUUAAAGUUGAACCAGUAAUUACUUGCUGUCCCUAGCUUAUUGAAAAUUUGAGAUAUGUUCAAAAAGUGCAAAUUGGUUGCAAAGUCCAGCAAAUUUCAAAAAGCAAUACCUUCAUUUAUACUGAAGCUGUUUACCAGCUCACACUGAUUAUAUGCUCAAAAUAUGAAAUAAACGCUUUUGAAUUUGGAUUUAAAGAAAUUGUAUGGGAUCUGCAAUAAAGUUCAUUAAAUUACAAAGUAUUUAAAGAGGCAAAUAUGUAUUAAAACACAAAAAUUAUGUGCUUAUCUCAGGAGAUCUUGAAAUGAAUAAAUGAUAGUUUGUUAUAAAAUACAAUAAUGAAAUUUAAAAUUAUUUUAUAUAAUGAAUGCCGAGGGAGAAACAUCUGGUAGUAAAGUUUCCCUUUCUCUUUUUGAAAGAUUUCUUAUCUAAAUUUGACAGAAUUUUAAGAAUUAAACAGUUCAUCUAUUUCACAAGUCAUUAGGAUUUUUGUAAAUUAUAAAGAACAUUCAUGAUCAUGAUUAAGUAUAUCGCCACCUCACUGCCACCAUUAGGUUCAUUCGUGCUGGAUUAUUAUCACUUUAUAGUUUGAUAGUUCAGUUUAAAAUAGUACAUAGUGAAAAGUGGUUAAGUCUGAAGUAUCAUUUCUCAACGGUGUUUUUAUAUACUGUAUACAUAAUACUUUGUAAUAACUUUUUUUUUUUUUUUUUUUUUUUUUUCAUUUUGCAGAGUGCUUCAUGCUAUUUAUUCCGAGAGUUUUGAAACACCUCUUGCAACUGUGAGAGCACCAUUGAAUACUGAUAGUUCAACCCAGGCUCAAGUUGCUGUGAAUGAGGUGGCUGCCUGGGUACUUUUGGAUCUUUUCAUGCAAUGAACUGUAUGUAGCCUGGUAUUCUUUAAAUACUGAUGUCAUGUUUUCUUUUCUGUAUGCACAUGAAGUGGAUCAGGUAUUAAAGUUCCAUUCUUGGGAUCAAAUUUUGAAGCUUCGACUUUAAGUCACUCCUUGAAAUGUAAUUCAUAAACCUUAAGAGAAAGAUUUAAAAAAAAUACUUAAUUGAAAUAUAAUAAAUAAUUGAAGCUUAAAAAUCAGAGGGCUUAUUCUGAGCAUUUUCAAUGCAGAAUAUUCAUUUUUUGAAUAGAAUUGUAAAAUAUCUGCAAUGAUUAAAGGCUGUAUUUUUUAUCA
rnacentral:lncRNA from 1 species